GUGGUGCUGGGGUAGUAAAGGGGUUCGAGGGAAAGAGGGAGUACAAUCUUCGAGGUGGUGGUGCCAACGUUGUAGCCCAUGGUUACACCAAGGGCGACGGUCUUGGUGCGGAGAUCGUUGGUACCUUUGUGCUUGUUUACACCGUCUUCUCUGCCACUGAUGCCAAGCGCAGCGCCAGAGAUUCUCACGUCCCUGUAAGCCACCACAAUCUCUAAUAUCUCCUUGUCUGUUAGUUGUAUGUCCCAAAUUUAGAGUCCCAUAUGUAGGAAUAUCGUUAAAAUGGAGAUGAAAAUCUUAAAAUUAAAACUAAAAUAUUGUGAGUUUUGAGAUGGAUCUAGUGAGUUUUGAGAUGGGACUCUGAUAUUGGGAUGGAUAGAUUCUGAAUCUGUGUUACUCAGUACUAGUCCCAGCACCAGUAACAUUCCAACUGUAUGUCACUCUUGUGUUCCAAAUUUAGAGACCCACUUGUAUAAAGGGAUUAUGAUAGUUUGGAUGAACUUUGUAAUUAAAUAUUUUGACUUUCAUAUAAUUUUAUGAUCAGAUUUUGGCACCGCUGCCUAUUGGGUUUGCUGUUUUCUUGGUGCACUUGGCGACUAUUCCCAUUACCGG
rnacentral:lncRNA from 1 species